rnacentral:tRNA from 2 species
CGUUGAUGGUUAAGUGGUAUAAUGGUUGCCUUCCAAGCAUUUGUCCCGGGUUCGAUUCCCGGUCAACGCA